rnacentral:rRNA from 1 species
GACAGAGGAUGCAAGCGUUAUCCGGAAUGAUUGGGCGUAAAGCGUCUGUAGGUGGCUUUUUAAGUCCGCCGUCAAAUCCCAGGGCUUCAACCCUGGACAGGCGGUGGAAACUACCAAGCUGGAGUACGGUAGGGGCAGAGGGAAUUUCCGGUGGAGCGGGUGAAAUGCGGUAGAGAUCGGAAAGAACACCAACGGGCGAAAGCACUCUGCUGGGCCGACACUGACACUGAGAGACGAAAGCUAGGGGAGCGAAUGGG